rnacentral:rRNA from 1 species
AAGGCGCGCGAUACAGGGUGACAGCCCCGUACACAAAAGCGCAUGUGCUGUGAGCUCGAUGAGUAGGGCGGGACACGUGGUAUCCUGUCUGAAUAUGGGGGGACCAUCCUCCAAGGCUAAAUACUCCUGACUGACCGAUAGUGAACCAGUACCGUGAGGGAAAGGCGAAAAGAACCCCGGCGAGGGGAGUGAAAAAGAACCUGAAACCGUGUACGUACAAGCAGUGGGAGCACAGGUUUACCUGUGUGACUGCGUACCUUUUGUAUAAUGGGUCAGCGACUUAUAUUCUGUAGCAAGGUUAACCGUAUAGGGGAGCCGUAGGGAAACCGAGUCUUAACCGGGCGUUAAGUUGCAGGGUAUAGACCCGAAACCCGGUGAUCUAGCCAUGGGCAGGUUGAAGGUUGGGUAACACUAACUGGAGGACCGAACCGACUAAUGUUGAAAAAUUAGCGGAUGACCUGUGGCUGGGGGUGAAAGGCCAAUCAAACCGGGAGAUAGCUGGUUCUCCCCGAAAGCUAUUUAGGUAGCGCCUCGUGAAUUCAUCUCCGGGGGUAGAGCACUGUUUCGGCUAGGGGGCCAUCCCGGCUUACCAACCCGAUGCAAACUGCGAAUACCGGAGAAUGUUAUCACGGGAGACACACGGCGGGUGCUAACGUCCGUCGUGAAGAGGGAAACAACCCAGACCGCCAGCUAAGGUCCCAAAGUCAUGGUUAAGUGGGAAACGAUGUGGGAAGGCCCAGACAGCCAGGAUGUUGGCUUAGAAGCAGCCAUCAUUUAAAGAAAGCGUAAUAGCUCACUGGUCGAGUCGGCCUGCGCGGAAGAUGUAACGGGGCUAAACCAUGCACCGAAGCUGCGGCAGCGAACGUAUCACCCAAGACAACUUUACGGAGUUGACGAUUGACGGAGCGAAGCGACGUCAAAGCGUUCAUUAAAGUCGAGUUGGCUUAGGGAUACGUUCGUUGGGUAGGGGAGCGUUCUGUAAGCCUGUGAAGGUGUGUCGUGAGGCAUGCUGGAGGUAUCAGAAGUGCGAAUGCUGACAUAAGUAACGAUAAAGCGGGUGAAAAGCCCGCUCGCCGGAAGACCAAGGGUUCCUGUCCAACGUUAAUCGGGGCAGGGUGAGUCGACCCCUAAGGCGAGGCCGAAAGGCGUAGUCGAUGGGAAACGGGUUAAUAUUCCCGUACUUGGUGUUACUGCGAAGGGGGGACGGAGAAGGCUAUGUUGGCCGGGCGACGGUUGUCCCGGUUUAAGCGUGUAGGUGUGUGUUCCAGGUAAAUCCGGUUCACUUUAACACUGAGGCGUGACGACGAGGCACUACGGUGCUGAAGCAACAAAUGCCCUGCUUCCAGGAAAAGCCUCUAAGCAUCAGGUAACACGAAAUCGUACCCCAAACCGACACAGGUGGUCAGGUAGAGAAUACCAAGGCGCUUGAGAGAACUCGGGUGAAGGAACUAGGCAAAAUGGUGCCGUAACUUCGGGAGAAGGCACGCUGACACGUAGGUGAAGUGAUUUACUCAUGGAGCUGAAGUCAGUCGAAGAUACCAGCUGGCUGCAACUGUUUAUUAAAAACACAGCACUGUGCAAACACGAAAGUGGACGUAUACGGUGUGACGCCUGCCCGGUGCCGGAAGGUUAAUUGAUGGGGUCAGCGUAAGCGAAGCUCCUGAUCGAAGCCCCGGUAAACGGCGGCCGUAACUAUAACGGUCCUAAGGUAGCGAAAUUCCUUGUCGGGUAAGUUCCGACCUGCACGAAUGGCGUAAUGAUGGCCAGGCUGUCUCCACCCGAGACUCAGUGAAAUUGAACUCGCUGUGAAGAUGCAGUGUACCCGCGGCAAGACGGAAAGACCCCGUGAACCUUUACUAUAGCUUGACACUGAACAUUGAGCCUUGAUGUGUAGGAUAGGUGGGAGGCUUUGAAGUGUGGACGCCAGUCUGCAUGGAGCCGACCUUGAAAUACCACCCUUUAAUGUUUGAUGUUCUAACGUGGACCCGUAAUCCGGGUUGCGGACAGUGUCUGGUGGGUAGUUUGACUGGGGCGGUCUCCUCCUAAAGAGUAACGGAGGAGCACGAAGGUUGGCUAAUCCUGGUCGGACAUCAGGAGGUUAGUGCAAUGGCAUAAGCCAGCUUGACUGCGAGCGUGACGGCGCGAGCAGGUGCGAAAGCAGGUCAUAGUGAUCCGGUGGUUCUGAAUGGAAGGGCCAUCGCUCAACGGAUAAAAGGUACUCCGGGGAUAACAGGCUGAUACCGCCCAAGAGUUCAUAUCGACGGCGGUGUUUGGCACCUCGAUGUCGGCUCAUCACAUCCUGGGGCUGAAGUAGGUCCCAAGGGUAUGGCUGUUCGCCAUUUAAAGUGGUACGCGAGCUGGGUUUAGAACGUCGUGAGACAGUUCGGUCCCUAUCUGCCGUGGGCGCUGGAGAACUGAGGGGGGCUGCUCCUAGUACGAGAGGACCGGAGUGGACGCAUCACUGGUGUUCGGGUUGUCAUGCCAAUGGCACUGCCCGGUAGCUAAAUGCGGAAGAGAUAAGUGCUGAAAGCAUCUAAGCACGAAACUUGCCCCGA